CAAACAACAUAAUUGUAUGUAACAAACGGCACAUAUCUAUUUGAUUGGCAUGGGAUCUCUUUGGUCUAAGGCAAGAGGAUAAACAUGGUCUAAGCGGAGCAAACAUGGUCUAAGAUGAACUAAAAAAAUUCACAUUAGACUUAAGAUCUUUGGGUGUUAAAGAAGUGGACUCAUGUUUGGUAAAAAUAAAAUAGACCCAGUUCAUUUGAAACAGGAGAGCGUUUUGUUUUCAGAGACCAUGAAGGACUAUAGUGGCAGAUCAUCUACAACACGGGCCUGUGGUUAAGGUGCUAAGAGUUAAAUGUUUCUGCUCUGUGAAUUCAGAUGCUUCGAAGAAAAACAGUAGAGCUGCUUUAAGAAGAUGAAUACCCAAAGCAAAACCUGCAUGCUGGGCCCUUAUUCCCUAACCCAGAAUCCUUCACUAAUGCCAUUUUGGAGACAGCCAGCAUCUCCCGUAACAUAAGCAACCAAGCUUCAGUGUGAAGCUCACUUAGAGCUCUUCUUCUGAGACAAUGUUUCAUUCAGAGGUAAUACUCACAAGGAAAGGUAAUACUGAGUCUUUGUCUGAAAGGUGUUACUGUUUGGAUCUGGACCAUCCACGGGGUGUGGUGAACUGCGGGUGAACCCUACCUCCUUUCUUCUCCCCUGGCUUCCUUCCCUGAGGUGCCAUGAGGGUCCAGAUCAGUCCACAUGGAAGGUGCUGAGUGAAUGCGAAGGAAAUGCACAAGUGGAUGAAUAAUAACUGAGUCAAUGAAUGAGUCAGAUCACGGCUCCUCAUCCCUCCGGAAGUCUCUGUCCCAGUAUCCCCACAGGAAAAGGAGAAGAAUGGCGCCUUUGUUGUCUCUAUCUAAGGGCACACCUGAUCCAUCUUAUUCAAAGAUUACACCAAGAGCUGCCCAGGGAGGGUGAAAGAAGCUCACCCUUUGGUGUCUGUUUCUAUUCAGAAAUGAAAUGACCAGAUGAAACCAGAUGAAGAGACAAAGGAAGAAGAGGAGGGGAGCCAAGAGGCCUGCAUUGAACAAGGCUGGACUAAUCAAUAUCAAUUCCAAUUCUUUCACAUAAUUAUUGUACUUAGUAACCUUAUUAGAACACAUACACACACACAUACAGAGACAGACAGACAGACAGGCAGGCAGGCAGAGACAUAGAGACAGAGGGAAACAGAGCCAGAGAAAGGAGGGGGUGAGUAUUGAUUCCCUAGAGAGGGAAUAGUAAUUUCCUUUACCCCUGGCCUUAGAAAGAAAUGAGGUUUUUAUUUCUUGAAGAUUUACUAAAAAGUAUUUUUAAAUGAACUAAGCAAAAAUCCUACUUACUCACCUAUGUUUUGGUUGGCUAAGGCAGGUUUACUAAUGUUCCCUAUGUGCCAGGAAGAAAGGUCACUAUAAGUACUGUGUUUAUUUACCCAGGACCUGCUGAGCAGCUUGCUGAAAUGGUCAGAGCUGCCCUCACUGCCUCUUGCAAUAAGAAUUAUUUCCCUUUGAAGCAUUAAGUGCACGUAGUCAAUUCUCUGAUCUGGAACCAAAUCAUGUUCUAUACCCUGGACCAAAACUGGCCACAGAGUAAGUGUAGCCAACUGCCAUGGUCAGCAUCUCCAGAAAACAUCCCUUCCCUUCAUGGCUUCUUCACAUGUCUAAUAUCCAAGUCGUCAUCAAAAUCGCUGGCUCUGCCUUCAAAGGAGAAAGAAGGUCAUUUAUGGAAAGAUUCCUUUGUCCUUGGUAUUCUUGAUCGAAGGAUGUAAAUUGUCAGACUGGAGGAAUAAGUUUUAGUGAUCUAAUGGUGACCACUUAAUGAUAAAGCUUGGUCUACUUUAAAAUUGCUAAAACAGACCAACCACUCACACACAAACAAAAAAAGUUAAAUCACUAAGGUGAUAGAUAUGUUAUAUGUAUAUAAUUACUGAUUUCCUUAUAUGGAUCAAAACAUCACAUUGUACCUAACAAAUACACACAAUUAUUGUGUCAAUGAUAGUCAUAUGUCAUUUAAAAACAUGGUCAAGUUCUCAGAAGUUCAUUGCUAGUUGAUUUUGCAACUGCAAAUACUGAAGCAUGUAUUUAUUCAAACUUAGAUGAUACAGGUCAUCUAAGGUCAAUAGCUAGAUGUUGCCUUGGUGCAACCACAAGACACAGUAAAUACAAGAUGGGCAGGGCAGCUGCCCAUGUAAGAUUGAAUAAUGUUUUACAGUAAGCUAUUUAAAUAAGUAGGUAUACUCUAAAUUUACAAUAGAAAAUAUAGUAUAAUCAGGGUUUGGUGACAUAUACUUAUAAUCCCAGCAUUAGAGAGACUGAGGUAGAAGGAUCAUGAAUUUGAGGCCAGCCUAGGAUAUAUAACAAAACCUUAUCUCAAACACACAAAAAAGUAUAACAUAGUAUAACUACUUAAGCCAGUAAGAUAUCAUUAUCAUUAUCGAGUAUUGCAUACUGCCUAUCAUUGUACAGACUGUAACUUUUUUUUGAGGUGAAGACAAACUGCAUAGUCCAGGCUGACCUUUAACUUGAGAUCCUGUUGCCUCAACCUUUUAAAUGCUGGGAUUAUAGGUGUGCACAACCAAGGCUGGUGUGGCUGUUUCAUUUUUCUGGUGAACAGUCCUGACCCACUGUUGUUUAUUAUUUUAAAUAAAAUAAAAUUUUAUCUAUAAGUAUUCUUUGACAACACACGUGCACAUGAAUUUAAGGAAUCUCUAGACACAUACACACCCACCGACACAAACAUACCUAUAUAGUUCCUGUUUUGUUUUUUGUUUUGUUUUGUUUUGUUUUGUUUUGUUUUGUUUUGUUUUGGUUUGGUUUGGUUUGGUUUGGUUUGGUUUGGUUUGGUUUGGUUUUGGUUUUCCGAGACAGGGUUUCUCUGUAUAGCCCUGACUGUCCUGGAACUCACUCUAUAGACCAGGCUGGUCUCGAAAUCAGAAAUCUGCCUGCCUCUGCCUCCCAAGUGCUGAGAUUAAAGGCCUGUGCCACCACUGCAUUCCUGUAUAUUUAUAUCUUCUAUAAAUUUUCCUGAAAUACUCUCUAUUGUUGCAAUUUAAAUGAUCAAAAGUUCAACUGCUUGGCUGCAUCAUCCAAAGAACUUGUUAAAUACAAAAAUGUCUGAGUCAGACACCUUUAGACUCAGCACUCUGCAGGCUGAGGCAGGAGGAUCUAUUUGAGUUCCAGGCCAGCCUAGAAUACAUAGUGAAUUCUAGUACAGCUAGGGCCAUAUAGUGAGACCCUGUCUCAAAAGAAGAAACUAUGUGUGAUCACUUCUUUAUUACACAGUAAUUCCCAAUGAUCCUUUGGCUCCUGUUUCCAUUUCUCUCUCUUUUUAAGAUCACACAGGAGUCACUGGCAGCUUAUCCACAGCACUUGGUUUCAGUCACUUACAGUAGGCCUGCAUUAGAGCCAUGGUGCAAUGUAGACAACAUGUGUGGUUGAGCAUGCAGCAGAGGAAGUAAGAAGAAGCAGGUAGCAGAGGUGUUACCUACAUCACUACAUUGCUUUGCCAGCAUUUGGGAUUUUAUAGUCCUUUUAAUCAAAUGGGAAAACAAUUUAUAUAUUUAUCAUUUUUUUUUUUAGUUUAAAUAAAGAACUCACCCUUACUAUGCUUCGUUUCACCUGGAAUGAAAACCGUUUUAUAAUGGUUGUGUCUCUUGUAGCACAUUGCCAGAGCUGCGUGUGUCAUGGAGUGGCCAGGAUAACCUAGGGGCAACACCUUUUUAAGUGACGGCACAAAACUAGGUCCCGUCCACAGCCUUCCCCUUUUGGAAUCUGUACCUGAGCUGUUUCAUAUGACUUGGACAUGACUGAGAUGAUAGCCUCCUGAUAAACUGCAAAGAAAACAAACAUCCUGUUUACAGCAACACACGGCUCUUUUCAUACUCCAGGAGUGACCUCAAGAAGCAGCUGAACAUGCUGAGCCAUAUUGUCUAAACAUUAAUUAUGCCCCAAGCAGCAUUGUUGUUCUUGAGUCUUGGCAAAUGCACUCUGACAACUAGAUGGAGAACUCUACGCAGUGGCAUUACAUGGGUGAAUUCACUGGACUCUGAGAGCACAUGCUGCAGCUAACCUAUCCUGGACUUACUUCCUUACCUAUCCUGGCAACUGACUGUGUUCCAGGAGAAGCACCCUGCUGGAGAAAAAAAAACAGCACAGGACUUGAAUUUUGGACCCCCAAACUUGGAAUCUUUUUUGUGUGUUUUGGUUUUUAGUGUUUGGUUUUUAAAGACAGGCUCUCUUUGUGUUGCCUUGGCUGUCCUGAAACUCUCUCUGUAGAUGGGCUAGCCUCAAACUCACAGAGAUCUGCCUGCCUCUGCCUCCCAAAUGCUGGGAUUAAGGGCCUAUAACACCAGUUGGAAAAGACUUGGAUUCUAAUCCCAGUUCUACUCUACUUUUACUGGGAAAGCUGUUCAGAUGUGACUGUCUACUCUUUAAAACAGGGUAAAAUUUUUGAGAAUUCAAUUUGAUGAUCCACACAAACAGAGAGUAAGGCUCUAAAAUAUUAGCCACUUAGUAAUAAUAGUGAAGAGGUCAGCUCAGGAACUUUAGAAAAUUCCACCAGACUCCUCCCCUCCUGGAAGAGAAAGGUCAUAGGUACCCCUCCCCUCUAGAAGGGGAGGGGCUAAUUACAUUCCUCAGACCACAGGGAAGAGGAGCCGACCACUACUGAUCACCAACAACUGGCCACCUGCAGGUAAGGGAGACACAUUCCCCAACCAUUGGCCACCUACCUCAUUCCCUAUAGACCAAUCAGUUUAAAAGUCACAUUGUUCUGCCAAUCACAUUGUGCCUAAUGAUUGCUGCCUUGAGAACUGUAUAAAGACCCACUGGACAGGCUGCGCGUGGUCAUUCUCUCUCCCCAUAUGCAGGGUGACCCCAACAUGUUGGAACAAUAAAUUCCUCUUGCUUUUUGCAUCAA